GUACUCACUUUGGCAGCACAUGUACUAAAAUUGGAACGAUACAGAGAAGAUUAGCACGGCCCCUGAGCAGGGACGCUCACACAAAUUCGUGAAGCGUCCCAUAUUUUU